rnacentral:rRNA from 1 species
UCUGAGCGUACUUUUAAAUAAGUCAAAACUUUCAACAACGGAUCUCUUGGUUCUGGCAUCGAUGAAGAACGCAGCGAAAUGCGAUAAGUAAUGUGAAUUGCAGAAUUCAGUGAAUCAUCGAAUCUUUGAACGCACAUUGCGCCCAUUAGUACUCUAGUGGGCAUGCCUGUUCGAGCGUCAUUACGACCCUUAAGCCUAGCUUAGUAUUGGGAACCUACGUGCGGCAGCUACCCUGUAGCUACCCUGUAGCUCCUUAAAGACAACGGCGGAGACGUGGAGUCCUCUGAGCUUAGUAAACUUUUUCUAGCUUCUGAAGGCGCCGCGGCCCCUGCCGUAAAACCCCCCAACUCUUUAGUGGUUGACCUCGGAUCAGGUAGGAAUACCCGCUGAACUUAAGCAUAUCAAUAAGCGGAGGAAAAGAAACCAACAGGGAUUGCCUUAGUAACGGCGAGUGAAGCGGCAACAGCUCAAAUUUGAAAGCUGGCCUUCGGGUCCGCGUUGUAAUUUGUAGAGGAUGCUUUUGGUUAGGUGCCUUACGAGUUCCCUGGAACGGGACGCCUUAGAGGGUGAGAGCCCCGUACGUUUGGUGACCGAGCCUCUGUAAAGCUCCUUCGACGAGUCGAGUAGUUUGGGAAUGCUGCUCUAAAUGGGAGGUAAAUUUCUUCUAAAGCUAAAUACCGGCCAGAGACCGAUAGCGCACAAGUAGAGUGAUCGAAAGAUGAAAAGCACUUUGAAAAGAGGGUUAAAUAGCACGUGAAAUUGUUGAAAGGGAAGCGUUUAUGACCAGACUUUUUCCUGGCGGAUCAUCCGGUGUUCUCACCGGUGCACUUCGCC